GCAACCAACCAGCAACAAGCUCUCAAUGGGUCUACACACAAAAAUCACCAAAACUCCAUCGAAAUCCACAAUUUUCAGCAUUUAAGCUUAAAUUCACAAAACCUCAAUGCCAAAUUCACCUUCCAAAGCUCAAUUCAGGUGAAGAAAGGUCCCAACAGUAGUGAAGUAUGAUGGAGUACUAUCUUCAGGUCCGAAAUCCAGCUUUCUCCCAGAUUUGAUUCAAGAAAACUAAUAAAACUCAGCUUCAGCCCGCAAAUACCAGCAUCUUAGAAGAAUACAAAAUUGACUAUACAAAACUGAAUCAAUUUCUGUCAAAUUUGCUCCACGAAUUCUCCAAGAAGUCAACUAACCACCAAACCAAGUUUCACAGCAAUCCAACUCUCCUACGUCACACAUGAGCCAAAACGCCGAAAGUCGCUGUUAGAAUUCUGCUGAAACUGCAGUCUUUGAAGUAGAAAGUAAGCAAAUUGUGGAAUUUGGAGUUAUUUGAAGGGCUAAGAUGCAAAAUAUAGCUUCUCUGUAAAGAAGGGAAGAAAAGGCUUCUCAGGAGUCGAAUAACAUCUAUUUAUAGUGAGUUGAGAGGAUAAGAUAAGCCCCAAGAACAAACACUGCAAGCCUGCUGCCCCUGUAGAAACGCACAGUUUCGGGCGCCCGAAAUCAUGUUUUGGGUGUCCGAAACCUCCAGGCUUCACAAUUGUUCCUCAUCGGUUCCUCUGCCCGCGGUGUGCUGCGCCCAAAACCUGGUUCGGUGGAUCUCACCUACCACCAGCCACGUGUCAGCUCAAAUGAUAUUCACGAGGUGAACUUUCGGACCCACAACCGGGCGCCUGAAACCAGAAUCCAAAUUGGCUUCCAGAUUUGCUCAAACCAGCACUCAAGUUCUGGGCGACCUAAGUCCAGUUCUGGGCGCCCAAAACCUGCAAAACUCAAGUUUUGCUCCUUUGAGUGCGCCAAGUCCAUUUCUGUGUCCAUUUUGUACAAAAACGACUCCAACUCAGUCCGACACUCAUCAGAUAUGUCAACCAGUCACUACUACUGUAGCCAAUCCUAUCCAAACCACUGAAACACUACAUCCUCCCCUACUACAAAAAGUUUUGUCCUCGAAACUUAAAUUCAUACCUCAAUCCGGAGCAUCAAACAAGUAGAGGUAGGAUUCCCUCAUUACUGUCUCAGGUUCCAAGUCGCCUCUUGCUCUUCGUAAUGACUCCACUGCACUUUUUCAUAAGGAAUGACCCGGUUGAGCAAUUUUUUUGAUUCACGAGCCAGAAUUCGCACCGGACGUUCCUCAUAUCUCAAGUCCUCGCGAAGCUCCAGCGGAGUGAAGUCGAUCACGUGGGAAGGAUCAAAUACAUAUUUCCUCAAUACUGAGACGUGGAAAAUAUCAUGGAUACCGGCCAGUCGUGGGGAUAGAGCAAUCCUGUAUGCAACUGGUCCAACUCGUUCCAAUACCUCAAAAGGGCCUACAAAGUGUGGACUGAGCUUUCCACGCACUCCAAAUCUGCAUAUCCCUCUGGACGAUGAGACUUUCAGAAACACAUGCUCUCCAACCUGGAACUCUAUGUCUCGUCUCCUGGUAUCGGCGUAGCUCCUCUGGCAGCUCUAGGCUGUCAAAAGGUGUCGUCGCACAGUGAUGCAUCCACAUCAUUCCAAAAUAAAAGGGAUCGACAUCUGCGUCCAUAUAAUGCUUCAAACGGAGCCAUCUAAAUGCUCGUUGAUAGCCGUUGUUGUACGCAAACUCAGCAAGUCUCAAAUGUCGAUGCCACCCUCCUCCAAGGUCCAGGACACAUGCUCUCAGUAUAUCCUCCAGAGUCUGAAUGGUCCGCUCUGACUGACCAUCCAUUUGUGGGUGAAACGCCGUGCUGAAAUGCAACUGUGAACCCAACGCAGUCUGAAAACUCCCCCAAAAGUGCGAAACAAAUCUCGGAUCUCUGUCUGAUACACUCGAAAUCGGCACACCAUACAGUCUAACCAUCUCAUUCAGAUAUAGCUGCGCGAGUCUCUCCCUGGACCAGGUGGUCUGUACUAGUAGGAAGUGAGCAGACUUAGUCAGCCUGUCUACUAUAACCCAAAUAGCAUCGAAACUAUCCUGUGCUCUAGGCAACUCCACUACGAAGUCCAUCGUAAUCUGCUCCCAUUUUCACUGGGGCACUGGCAGACUCUGAAACUUGUCAGCAGGUACCUGAUGCAUUGCCUUUGUCUGUUGGCAAGUAAAACAUCGAGCUACAAAUCUGCCAAUGUCUUUUUUCAUUCCAUUCCACAAGAACUGUACCUUUAAAUCCUUAUACAUCUUGGUUCCACCAGGGUGAAUCGUAUAAGGUGAACAAUGAGCCCCUCUCAAAAUAUCCUCUCGGAUUUCUGAAUCCAUAGACACACACAGUCGAUCCCUGUACUGCAGUACUUCCGAACUGUCCACAACAAAGCCUUCUGCCUGUCCCCUCUCUAACUGCUCUUGAAUUCUCAACAAGUGAGAAUCUCCACUUUAUUUCUCCCGGAUCCUGUCAAACAGAGUGGGCUGCAAGACCAAAAACAUUAGUCUUGCAAUGGACCCAGGGGACACAACCUCUAGUCUUAACCGCUGUAGCUCCUCGAGUAACGGCCUCCGCUAAGUAAUCAACAUGCUCAAGCUUGCACAGACUUCUUGCUCAACGCAUCUGCCACCACAUUUGCCUUGCCGGGAUGAUAUUGAAUACUAAUAUCAGUCCUUCAAUAACUCCAACCACCGGCGUUGCCUCAGAUUCAAUUUUCUUUCGGUGAACAGAUACUUGAGACUCUUGUGAUCAGUAAACACCUCGCAGUGCUCGCCAUACAAGUAAUACCACCACAACUUCAAAGCAAAAACAACUGCAACAAGCUCCAAGUCAUGCGUAGGGUAAUUCUUCUCGUAAUCCAUCAAUUGCCGUGAAGUAUAAGUAAUUACCCUACCAUGCUGCAUAAACACACAACCCAAACCAUUGUGCGAUGCAUCACUGUAGAUCGCAAAUCCUUCCCCCAUCCCUAGAAGGGCAAGGAUAGGAGUCGACAUCAACCUCUGUCUCAACUCAUCGAAGCUCCUCUGACAAUCCUCACUCCAGAUGAACUUAAUUUCUUUACGAGUCAAUCGAGUGAGGGGUGUGGAAAGCUUCGCAAAGUCUUCCACAAGCCGACGGUAAUAUCCAGCAAGUCCAAGGAACUCCUCACCUCCGUCACCGUCAUCUGUCUGGGCCAAUCCCGAAUAGCAUUAAUCUUCUUCGGGUCCACUACUACUCCAUCUGCAGAAAUCACAUGGCCCAAGAAAGCAACUUCCCGUAACCAGAGCUCGCACUUCUUUAACUUGACAUACAACUUUUUUUCUCGCAGAAGUUGUAGCACAAUCCUCAAGUGCUCCUAAAGCUCAGUAUUACUCCGGGAGUAAAUCAAGGUAUCAUCAAUGAAGACUACCGCAAAUCUAUCCAAGAACGGCUUGAACACUCUGUUCUUUAAAUCCAUAAAUACGGCAGAGGCAUUUGACAAUCCAAAAGGGAUCACGAUAAACUCAUAAUGCCGGUACAGAGUCCGAAAAGCCGUCUUGAAAACAUCCUCGGCCCUCACCCUCAACUGGUGGUAACCUGACUGAAGAUCAAUCUUCGAGAAGGCACAAGAUCCUUGGAGCUGAACAAAUAAAUCAUUGAUGCGCGGCAAAAGAUUAUUGUUCUUGAUGGUCACUUUAUUCAGUCCCGAUAAUCCACACACAACCUAAGUGAACCAUCCAUCUUCUUUACAAAUAACACCGGUGCUCUCCAAGGCGAUACAUUGCAUCUCACAUACCCUUUCUCCAUCUGAUACUAAAGCUGCGCCUUUAGCUCUCUCAGCUCUGCCGAUGCCACCCGGUAAGGUGCCUUCGAGAUUGGUGCAGUUUCAAAAACUACAUCAAUCACAAACUCGAUCUCCCUCUCCAGCAGCAUUGUCGUCAACUCCUGGGGAACAUGAGUCCGAAACUCGCGGACUAAAGGGAUGUCCUCGAGUCCCGGCGCCGCCGUUGGUACCUACACAACCGUCACCAGAAAAGCAACACAUCCUCUAUUCAUCAGCUAUCAAGCCCGCGCUUCACAAUCAAUAGUAGCAUAAUACCGCGCUAGCCAAUUCAUGCCGAGCACAACGUCAAAGUCCUGAGCUGCCCCAAAAAUAACAGGUCUACGGACAUGAUCCACGAAUCUAACUAUACCGGACACGACCAACAACACUCUGCAACCUGUAACACAUGGUCGGGAAUCUGCACCUCUCGUGCAUGUAACAACGGCCCUACCUCUAGACUAUGAAAUGAUGCAAAUGCUUGACUAACAAAAGAAUGGAAUAUAUAGGUAUCAACUAAUGCAUGAACUUAAAUACCAUAAUCAAAAUGAUACCUGCUACUAUACGAUCUGCGGGCGUGGAAUCCUCAACUUUAGCCUCAGACGCGUUGCCCCUAGAUUCCUGCUGUCACUGCCCCCUCUGCAUCGGCACUGCAAUUCCAUAAGGCUGUUAAGGUAUCGGCGGGGUUGGCGCUGUCAACAGUGCUGGCAAUGCUGCGCGAGGACAGGCUGCCCGUAGAUGCCCUGGCUGACCACAUCUAAAACACCGGCCCUCUUUUUAUGCACAAGAUUGCGGCCAAUGCGGUCCUCCACAAAUCACACACUGCGAAGUCCUCUGCGACUGACCUUGCUGACGAAAUCCUCUGGUACGCUGACGCCCCGAAGACUCACGACACUGAGCGUGUGAUCGUGGAAGCCUCGGCGGACGCCUGCUGCUCGACUGCCCUCCAUCAUCUGGAACUGGGCGCUUCCUAUCCUACUUCUACCUUGGCGCUGUUUCUCGCCCCUGGAUUGUCAUAGCUCUUUGCUCCACCCUGAAUGCCUGCUGCACGGAUGCUCUGGGGUCAACACCCGAUCCUAGCGCAACAGUCUCGCACAUCCUCUGCAAUUGUACACUUUGCUGCCAUAUCACCUCAGUCAAGGCAGCAACCCGCUCUCUCAGAUCCGGGAGUGCACUGGGCCCUACCGGCUCAGGCAUCUCAGGUGGUGUGGCACAAUCCCGCGGCGACGGUCGACCUCGGCGUCGAUACAUAGCUGCAGGAAAACAGAAUAAGGGUCAGAUACAAAACACAAACACUCUCGACCCAAUCAAGCGAAAGUCUAGAAGGCGGCCCCUAUUUCUCCACAAAAUUAUGUCGUCUGUAGCGAACAUAAUUUUUCUAGGUCGAAACAGGCACUCCUUCAAUCACUCACUCCACUCUAGGAGGAGUUAGAACUAAUCAAUCACUGACUUUCGCGAUAAAUCACGCCUCUCGCGUCUUGUCUUCCUAAGAUUUGCCAAACCUAAGGUUCCUAGGUCCCAACGACCUAAUGCUAAAUUCUGAUACUAACUUAAUCUGUCAAGCCCCGGAUUACUCGUUCCCCGGGCACGCCGACAAAUCCGCCGUAUACAAAGGACUUUUUCUGUAUACGAAGCGAUAGCUGUACCUAUACCUGUAUUCAUACAACACUACAACUAGUAGUAUAGAGCUGCUAAAGAGAAAAGCAUAUAUAAUAACAGAGGUUUAUCAUACAUAUGUCGCAUCCAGAUAUACAAAACGCUCGUUUCAGUGAGAUACAACAUCAGUAUGUGUAAUAACCCAAAAACUAUAACUACCUGUAGCUGGUAUACUCUAGAUCAGCAGCAACUGGGAAGGGAUCUAAAUCGCGACUCCCUUUUCACGAUCCGAAACAGCAGCAGCAACAGCCGAAGAAGAAGGCUCUGCAAAAGAUUCCAACAAUUAGGCGUGAGAACUACUGCAAAAAGGAGCAGUCCUCAGUAGGUACCGCUACCGACCUCUACGGCUUACCCACUAAGUCUACAGAUGAUAUGCUCAAUGAUAGUAAAGAACUGGAAAUACUCUACAGCUACAUGCUACUAUACUAUUAGGAAUCAACACUAACUAUCUGUAGAACAAUGCCAUCUCUGACCCAAUCUCACUAGGGACUGUAAGCAUGCCCGUCCCAAGGACUGUGAGCACACCCGUCCCCACCUAUCGAAGCUAUACAGCUACGUCCACGCUAAGCAGUCCAUGGAGAGCAAGUUCAACCAGCACGAACCGACAUCAACGCAAACGCACAAAGCCCGAUUCCGAAGUGGCACUCGUGGGCGCUACCCAACCGAGUAUGCAAGCGUAUCUCUGCCGAGCUCAAUCAGGCUCUCACAGGCUAUAGUCAAGUAAACAUGGUCUAACUAGUCUAACAAUCAAACUCACGUGCUCUCGGCACAAUGUGAUGCAAAAACAGCAAUCUGGAUCCACCGUCAACCUCAACGGUACCCGACAGUUCAAAACAGCCUAACCACUGCUGUAAAAAUAAGCUUGACAUUCCAGCACGAGCGUAAAUACAUUCUACACUAUCCUGGGUAUCCCCGUCGACAAACUGCGGCGAUACAAAUAAACUACAGCUCCUAAGCUAUCCGCGUAUCAAAUGCUCACUAACAGCGUGGAUACGAAUCGCAACAGCUUCAGAAAUUAUUCGAGUAUCAAAUGCGCACUAACAGCGUGGAUACGAAACGCAAUAGUUUAAGAAGCUAUCUGAGUAUCAAAUGCGCACUAACAGCGUGGAUACGAAAUGCAACAGCUUCAGGAGCUAUCUGGUAUUUUUAGACAUGACAGUGUAGAACCUAUAGUUGAAGAUUACUCGAGCUCGGCAUCCUAGUACGAGCGUAAAUGCAUUCUACACUAAUAUGGAUAUUUACCGCCCACCAACUACGGCGAUACCAACAAACUACGGCUCCUAGAGCUAAAUCUAGUAGUUUCAGCAUAUGACGGUGUAGAAUCGCUAGUUUUCUCAUAAGUCAAUUCCAAGUCCAAUAUGUAGAUUUAACUAAUAUUUUAAGCUCCAAACUCCGAUUUCAUAAGUAUGCAAAUCACUAGUUCGAGCUAAUUACAAGAUAUACAAAAAAACUAAAUAUACAUGCUGUCAACUACUAAACUUAGAAGGAGAUCCGAAAAUUUCGGUAAGCAUCAUUAACCCACCUCUAGCGUAAUAUCCGACACAGCUAGAAGUCGCGAAGCCGUUGGGAAACACAGCCGAAACCACCCCUGGACCAGCAACCAACCAGCAAUAAGCUCUCAGCGAGUCUACACACAAAAAUCACCAAAACUCCAUCGAAAUCCACAAUUUUUCAGCAUUUGAGCUUAAAUUCACAAAACCUCAAUGCCAAAUUCACCUUCCAAAGCUCAAUUCAGGUGAAGAAAGGUCCCAACAGUAGUGAAGUAUGAUGGAGUACUAUCUUCAGGUCCGAAAUCCAGCUUUCUCCCAGGUUUGAUUCAAGAAAACCAAUAAAACUCAGCUUCAGCUCGUAAAUACCAGCAUCUCAGAAGAAC
rnacentral:lncRNA from 1 species